UACGGGAGGCAGCAGUGGGGAAUAUUGCACAAUGGGCGCAAGCCUGAUGCAGCCAUGCCGCGUGUAUGAAAAAGGCCUUCGGGUUGUAAAGUACUUUUCAGUCGUGAGGAAGGUGUUAAGGUUAAUAACCUUAGCAAUUGACGUUAGCGACAGAAGAAGCACCGGCUAACUCCGUGCCAGCAGCCGCGGUAAUACGGAGGGUGCGAGCGUUAAUCGGAAUUACUGGGCGUAAAGGGCACGCAGGCGGUUAAUUAAGUUGGAUGUGAAAUCCCCGGGCUUAACCUGGGAAUGGCAUUCAAGACUGGUUAGCUAGAGUCUUGUAGAGGGGGUAGAAUUCCGAUGUGUAGCGGUGAAAUGCGUAGAGAUGUGGAGGAAUACCGGUGGCGAAGGCGGCCCCUGGGACAAAGACUGACGCUCAUGUGCGAAAGCGUGGGGAGCAAACAGGGAUUAGAUACC
rnacentral:rRNA from 1 species